UGAGGAAUAUUGCACAAUGGGCGAAAGCCAGAUGCAGCAACGCCGCGUGGAGGAUGACGGCCUUCGGGUUGUAAACUCCUUUUUCAGGGGAAGAGAUGACGGUACCCUGAGAAUAAGUCUCGGCUAACUACGUGCCAGCAGCCGCGGUAACACGUAGGAGACGAGCGUUAUCCGGAUUUACUGGGCGUAAAGCGCGUGCAGGCGGUUUGUAAGUCGUGCGUGAAAGCUCCCUGGCUUAACCGGGAGAGGCCGUACGAAACUAACGAACUGGAGGGCAGGCGAGGGGUGUGGAAUUCCGGGUGUAGUGGUGAAAUGCGUAGAUAUCCGGAGGAACACCAGUGGCGAAGGCGACACCCUGGACUGUACCUGACGCUCAGACGCGAAAGCAUGGGGAGCGAACGGGAUUAGAAACCCCGGUGUCCAUGCCGUAAACGAUGUGCACUAGGCGUGGUGGGCUUCACCGCCCGCUGUGCCGACAGCCAACGCGAUAAGUGCACCGUCC
rnacentral:rRNA from 1 species